AUAAUCAAAGCAUUUUUUUUAACUGUAAUUAGAAUUAUCCUGCCUUUUUUUUUGUCUCAUUUUUGUCAGGAUGCAACAAAAUUAGAGAGUAAUUAGAGGGUAUUCAAUAAGUAUAAGGUACGGUGAUCGAGUGGAUCGAUAAAGCAAUAUCAGUAUAACACCAUUUCUUAUUUUGAUUUUUUUUUUUGGAAAAUUUGUCUGGAAGGGACUUAUAUAUGUUCAAUAUUCUGUCUAGAAGGACCUUAUAUGUUCAAAGUGAUCUAAAAUGAUCUUAUAAGUUUGUUUUGUUGUUUAGAGGGACCUUGACGCCGGAUUCGAGCAUUUGACUUUUUAUCUGGUGUUAACUCUCUGCGUGCAUGUCAUGUGACAUUAAAAAAUCACCCUCCCUAUUAUGUUUUUCCUUCUUUCCCUCAAAUUCCCCUUAUUUGCCCAGAUUUUUUCCCAAAUUGUUUCUCUCUCCUCACGAACCAAGGUUCCCUAAUCUAAUACAUUGUGUUCCCUAAAUUUUCGAAGAAAUUCAAGCAAGCAUCUUUCGAUUAAGUCCUUUUCGCAUCAGCAUGCUGUUUUUGACUAAACGGAAGUUAUUGGCAAGUGCAAUUGUGGCCUUCCUCUUGUGCAAAGCACAUAAUAGACUCAUGAAAAUCUAUGCAGAAGGUUUAAAGCUUGCAAAUUUUAUAAUUUCUUGUCAGGGGAGAAGGGUUGUGACUACAAUAAAUGGGUUGAUGAGGAUAUUUUGGAGUGGUAGAAGGAUGUAACUAAUGUUCAACUAUUUGAAAAACAAAGAUUGACAACUGAUAUGAGUGUUUUGAAGGCUAGGGUUGCUUGUAUGAAACAUAAGAAGAGAAGGUUGAUUGAGGAACAUGAGAAGAUGAAGAACAUGAGCAAUGAAGGUGUUGAAAGAUCUCUGAUUAGUUAUGGAAAUUGUGGAAUUAUAUUAAUUUGUGUAAUUAUGUAAAUCGUGUGUAGUUUUAUUGUGGUGAAGUUAUGUGUCUAAUUAAUUGUAAUUGUAUUGCAGAGUGAAUGAAUAUAUGAUGUAAUUAUUUCAAGAUUUGAAUGAAUCAAUGAAGCUCAAUUUGCCUUUA